AGAAUUCCCACAUGUUGUAGGAGGGACCU
rnacentral:piRNA from 1 species